AUACGGAGGGGGUUAGCGUUGUUCGGAAUUACUGGGCGUAAAGCGCACGUAGGCGGACUGGAAAGUUGGGGGUGAAAUCCCGGGGCUCAACCCCGGAACUGCCUCCAAAACUUCCAAUCUAGAGAUCGAGAGAGGUAAGUGGAAUUCCUAGUGUAGAGGUGAAAUUCGUAGAUAUUAGGAGGAACACCAGUGGCGAAGGCGGCUUACUGGCUCGAUACCGACGCUGAGGUGCGAAAGCGUGGGGAGCAAACAGGAUUAGAUACCCUAGUAGUCC
rnacentral:rRNA from 1 species